rnacentral:rRNA from 1 species
AAAGGAAAUCGGGUUAAUAUUCCCGAACCAGGACGUGGAUACCGAGUGGCGACACAAGCGAAGCCGGGGACGGCGGCGCGGGCUCCGACAAGAGUUUUCUUUUCUUGUUAACAGUGUGGGCGGCCCCUGGAAUCGGAUUGCCCGGCGAGAGGGGUCGGCCCGUAUGGGAAAGCGGCUUAAUCUUGGAGCCGUUCGGAACGCUCGCGACGUCCCUUGAAAACCCGGCGGAGUGACUUAUUCGCACCCCUGGUCGUACUCAUAACCGCAUCAGG